ACUGGUCCUGGUAGAUUGUUUAGAAUUUAUAAUUCAGAAAUUAAAGAUUCUCAAAUGAUCCCAUCUCUCUCUCUUUUCUUGUCUCAAAGUCAAUACAGAGUGUUUAAUUAAACUCCCUGAUGAUAAAAACAGCCUAUUCUUCUGUUUAUAAAAAGUGAACUACCUACAGUGUAUUAAAAUACAACUUUAGAUAGUUACAUCACUUUGAUUCCAUUACAUAUGGCGAGCCUAGCUUGAUAUCUGCAUAGUUUAUUACACUUUGUGCCGACUCUGAGACAUUUUAUUUGGGAUUUUUGGUUCAGUCUGUGUGUUAGAGAAAAGAAAAGCGAGCGCUUCCUCAUUCAGCUCUCAGAAAGGGGGGUGCACAUUCAUCACCCUCCGACAGGAGGCGCUGUUUCAUCAAAACACCUUGGCUGUGUCUCAAUUCAGGGUCUGCAUCCUACCUCGGCCGGAUUCGUCGGCCGGUUACGUCACAGCGCCGCGACUCGGCCUGUCCCAUUUCGAAGACUCCUUCAAAUGCGGUCGACGAAUGCGGCCUUCUUUUCGCCUGAAUGAAGGAUGGGUCGGGUGUAUCCUUCAAUAGGUAGCAUUUCCCAAGAUGCCUUGCGGGCCGGCUGGCAGAAAAACUUAAAAACAAUGGCGGACAGUGAAGCGGGAGCUGUCGGAGAGGAUUGCGCAUAUAAAUGACCAAAAGAGAAAACCAGGGAAUUUAUUAAGCUUAGGGCGGAGAUGGACCACAUGAUCACCGGAGCAAAGUAUUCGGCGGCUGUGGCAUGGAGACUAUUCUGGAGAAAAUGGGCAUCCAGGGGAAGGUGCCAGCGAUGAGCUUCUGGAGCUGAUCUGGGAGGACAUGAGGCUGCAGAGCAGCAGAGAGCACAGGAGAGAAGGAAGAACUUUGACAGCUUUUUACUUUGCUAGAAAAAAAUGGUUAAUGAAGAUUAAACAUGUACAUAUAAAAGAAAUAUCUAAAUAAAAUCAGUUCUGCAUUAAA